CCGGAUUUAUUGGGUUUAAAGGGUGCGUAGGCGGCUUAUUAAGUCAGGGGUGAAAGACGGUGGCUCAACCAUCGCAGUGCCUUUGAUACUGAUGAGCUUGAAUGAACUAGAGGUAGGCGGAAUGUGACAAGUAGCGGUGAAAUGCAUAGAUAUGUCACAGAACACCGAUUGCGAAGGCAGCUUACUAUGGUUUUAUUGACGCUGAGGCACGAAAGCGUGGGGAUCAAACAGGAUUAGAUACCCUGGUAGUCCACGCCCUAAACGAUGAAUACUCGCUGUUAGCGAUACACAGUUAGCGGCUAAGCGAAAGCGUUAAGUAUUCCACCUGGGGAGUACGCCCGCAAGGGUGAAACUCAAAGGAAUUGACGGGGGCCCGCACAAGCGGAGGAGCAUGUGGUUUAAUUCGAUGAUACGCGAGGAACCUUACCCGGGCUUGAAAGUUAGUGAAUGAUUUAGAGAUAGAUCAGUCCGCAAGGACACGAAACUAGGUGCUGCAUGGCUGUCGUCAGCUCGUGCCGUGAGGUGUUGGGUUAAGUCCCGCAACGAGCGCAACCCCUAUGUUUAGUUGCCAGCACGUUAAGGUGGGGACUCUAAACAGACUGCCUGUGCAAACAGAGAGGAAGGAGGGGACGACGUCAAGUCAUCAUGGCCCUUACGUCCGGGGCUACACACGUGCUACAAUGGAUGGUACAGAGGGCAGCAAGCUGGCAACAGCAAGCAAAUCUCAAAAAGCCAUUCACAGUUCGGAUAGAGGUCUGCAACUCGACCUCUUGAAGUUGGAUUCGCUAGUAAUCGCGUAUCAGCAAUGACGCGGUGAAUACGUUCCCGGGCCUUGUACACACCGCCCGUCAAGCCAUGGAAGUUGGGGGUACCUAAAGUAUGUAACCGCAAGGAGCGUCCUAGGGUAA
rnacentral:rRNA from 1 species